CAAGAUGUAGCUUAAUCAAAGCGUCCGGCUUACACCCAGAAGACUUCACCUCGCAUGAACAUCUUGA
rnacentral:tRNA from 1 species